UAUCAUCCCAUUUCAUAGGGGUGCCUCUUUAGGAUAAAUGACACCCUAAAGAGUGGGCAUCUUGGCACAAUCCAAAUAAGAUCACAGAGAAUGAUGAAGAUGAUAAUUAUCCGAAUUGAGUUUGGAGUAAUUUGAGCUAGGAGAGCAUUGUAAAAGUCAAAAAGAUUACUGAUGAAGGGAUGAAAAGAAAAAUGGAGGCCAACUCCCUCGUAGAUCCUGAGGUAUCUCUCUAGAAGAUUGGUGACCCAGUCAUCCCGAUCAAGCACCUCCAGAUGGAAGAUAGAAGGAAUAAAAUACUAAGUCCAAAACUUUCUUAGAUCAGAUUCAGUGAUGGUCGACUCCUUAUUGGCUGGCUCGUAGAAGCUCUUGAACCCAUGCAUAAGAUUAUCCGAGUGCUGAGAAUCAGGAGAUUCGGGUUGGGAUGAGGAGCCCGAUACAAUAGUGGCCUAAGGAAUGACCUCGGACCCAACCCAAGGAGGGGAUGAUCGAGAAUGUUGGCCAUCCCAAGAAAAAGGGUAGAAAUUGAAGGAUAAAGAUUGAAAAAAAAGAUCGAGAGGAAAAUUGAAGGAAAAAACUAAGAAAAUAAGAUGAAAACUAAAGAAAAAUUAUCAACAAAGAAGGAAGACAAGGGGAUCAAUCGGACGUCAGUUGGUCAGGUCGGAGCAGGAGAAGAUAGCAGUGUAGGCAGUAGUGAAGAGUACUCUAGCAGCAGCGGCAGAGCUAAAAAAAAACUCAACUAAAAAAUAGAAGUAAAAAUAAAGGAAAGUGAAGGCCUAUUUAUAUUUUUACCUAUGGUUGAGAUCAGUACGAUGGUUCAACAUAUUGAUAUUAGGAUCUUGACAUGUGUUGACCACCAAAAUGACUACAUCCAUUUGCAUUAAUUGCGGCGAUGUGCCGCCUGAUAGCAAUAUAGGAUCAAUGGUUCGAUUUGCACAUCACAACACUCAACCCACUAGAUUUUGCCAUGUGUCGAC
rnacentral:lncRNA from 1 species